rnacentral:rRNA from 1 species
UACGGAGGGUGCAAGCGUUAUCCGGAAUCACUGGGUUUAAAGGGUGCGUAGGCGGUCUGGUAAGUCAGUCGUGAAAUCGCCGGGCUUAACCCGUGCAACUGCGAUUGAUACUGCCGGACUUGAAUGAGGUUGAGGUAGGCGGAAUGUGGCAUGUAGCGGUGAAAUGCUUAGAUAUGCCAUAGAACACCGAUUGCGAAGGCAGCUUGCUGGGCCUUCAUUGACGCUGAGGCACGAAAGCGUGGGGAGCAAACAGG